rnacentral:lncRNA from 1 species
CAGGAAGUUAAGUCUCCUCUGGCCCCCAGGGCUCUCCUCUCUAUGCCCUUGGGGAGGGGACUUCCUGUUAGGACGCCAUCUUGUUUGUGUGGUCCUGACAGAGUUGUUUGGGGCUAGCACUCUCCUUCCUCAGCAGCCCGCCUUGAUAUUUUUCAAACCUCCCGCUCCAGGCCCCAAGGAUUCUCUUCAGGAGCAGCCUAUGAGGACGGUGGAGACAGGUCACUGCCUUCAGGCCACCCCGUGGGUGGGUUGGUCAGUAUGAGACCUUGUUUUCUCUGCAGCUCUGUGGAUAGAAUGUGCCCAAGGUGAGGACUUAGGUCCAAUGUUGGGACUGAGGGUGAAGGUGGGAGAGAUUAGGCAGAAGAGGCAGGUGUGUGUCAUAUAUCCCCUGAUGGGGUCCUCACUCAACUCUUUCUUCAUCACAGCUUUUGUCCUUGGACCUGAGCAACAAGAAACCCUACCAGCUGGUUGGCCUGCCCAACACUAUGGAGCAUGCUUCCCACAUCAAGAACUUGAACCUCCCCAACACUGAGUUGAAGUCUGCAUGGGAGAUGGACAAGGUCCAGCGGCCGGAACCAGAUGAGAUGUGUGCAGACAUAAACACCCUGUGCACCACCUUCCCGGAUAAGUCAACCAGCAUAAGCACUUCCAGAUUUGUUCUACCAAAUACUAUGUCAGAGAGACAACAGCAAAAAUGUGUUCAUCCAUUAAAGAAUUAUGGGACAUCCAGAAAUAAAGGUAAAAGGAUUUCUACAUUGUCAUAGUUUUAGACAUAGUAUACAAUUU